UCAAACAGUUUUGACUAAAUCAGAAUCCGAUUCUGACGAAUCUGUUGAUACUGAAAUCAAUAUUUCUCCAUAUGCAGAUGUAUCUCAAUAUGAAGAUCUUUUUAAAAAGAAAAAUGAAUUUAAAAAUUUGGCAAAGGUUGUUGUAAAUGAAGGUGGUAUAUCAAUGUGUUGGAAAUAUUUUGGUGAUCUCUAUUUUAAAAAGAGGCAUAUUCUUCAAAAAUAUAAAUUUUGCAAAUUGUGUUUGGAUGAAAAGACCAAUUUAAAAAGUUUUGGAAAAUCAACAUCAACCACAAAUUAUAUGAACCAUCUACGAGCUGUACAUAACUUGGACGUGAAAUCUUUAAAUAACCUGAAAAGUUCAACAAUGACACAAAAUGCAUUGAAAUCCUCAACAAGUUGUAACAACAAACAACAAAAUGCUCGCCGGGUCGCCGAAAUGUGCUGUUGGGAUUUGCAACCGUUUAAAAUUGUUGAAAGGCCAGGAUUUAAGAAAUUGGUAUCUUUCUUAAACCCAAAGGCUAUAUUCCCCACAGAUAGGACAAUAGCUACGACGGCUUUAAACGAUGUUUAUAACAUAUAUUUGGACCACGUAAAAACAAGCCUUAAAGAGUCGCCCAAAAAUGUUACACUUGUAUUGGAUAUGUGGUCAGAUAAACAUAAGCACUUGUCUUACAUAAACAUAAAAGUGCAUUUCUGCCAAAAUUUUCAAAUGCAAAUUGUAACGCUCAAGACAGAGAUCUUUCCACGACCUCACACUGGACUAGCAGUUGUAGAAAAAAUUGAAGAAGCUUUAUGUGAAUUUAAUCUGUUGGAAAAAAACAUAUGUGCUGUUACUGAUGGUGGAAGCAACAUCGUUUCAGCUUUAAAAAUUAAAAAUAUACCAAGAUAUGGUUGUAAGGCUCAUGUUUUACACAGAUUUUUGAUGGAAGAUAUACUAAACAACAAGUCAUUUGAAAAUAUUAAUAACAUAAUAUCAAAAUUAAAAAAAAAUUAUGGCAGCUUAAUGUAUAGCUAUGAAGAAAUAUCAAAUAUUCAAAAUAUGGAGGAACAAAACGAUUUAGAAAAAAUAUUUACAGAGGUUGAAAUAAUUUUGGAGAGUUUGGAUAGUUGCGAACAAUUUCCACAUGGAGAUGACUAUUUUACUGAACAAUAUGAAGCAACUUUAAACGUCAAGCACCACACCUCUUUGAAAAUUCCGUUGCAACACGUUGGAACUCUCUGCUUGCAAUGAUUCAAAGCUAUACGAAUAAUAUAUCCACUAUAAAUGUAGCAUUAGUUAAAGCUAAAAAGGAACUGUUAGUGAUUGGGACAAUGGAAAAGCAAAUUAUAACGGAAUUUGGCACGUUUUUAAAAUUUUUUGAGGACGCCACAAAACACCUUCAAGGCCAAGAUUAUCCGACGAUAUCUUCGUGUAUUUAUUUUCAGGAAUCCAUUAUGUCCUCAUUGAAGAAAGAAGAAGAAAAAGCGUCUUUUGAACUAACAAUCAAUUUAUGCAAUUUCGCUGUGCAAAACUUCACGAAGCGAUUCAAAGUAUAUAGAAUGUAUGUUGUAGCUGCGCUUAUGGACCCAUGCCAAAAAAACUGGCCUGUUUUAGAUAAAUAUAUACUACAGAUACCCAAACAAUCGCCAAACUCCUUGGAACUUGUGCAUGAUGUUCUGUCUCCAAUUUCCAAGGAGAACUUGAUUAUGGAAGAAAUUGAAAAAUUAAAGGAAAUCGAUGACACAUUAUUAAAUGAGCCAUCAACGAGCACUGAACCAAAUGCAAAAAAACAGAAAAUAUCAGCUAGUCGUCAAAGAAUGUUGGAAUUUAUGGGACCAUCGCCUUCUAAUGUACAAAAUAA